CCUACGGGAGGCAGCAGUAGGGAAUAUUGCUCAAUGGGGGAAACCCUGAAGCAGCAACGCCGCGUGGAGGAUGAAGGUUUUCGGAUUGUAAAGCUCUUUCGGAUGUGACGAUGAUGACGGUAGCAUCUAAAGAAGCCCCGGCUAACUUCGUGCCAGCAGCCGCGGGAAUACGAAGGGGGCAGGCGUUGUUCGGAAUUACUGGGCGUAAAGGGAGUGUAGGCGGUUUAGUAAGAUAGUGGUGAAAUCCCAGAGCUUAACUUUGGAAUUGCCAUUAUAACUAGUAGACUAGAAUUACAGAGAGGAUAGUGGAAUACCCGGUGUAGAGGUGAAAUUCGUAGAUAUUGGGUAGAACACCAGUGGCGAAGGCGACUAUCUGGCUGUACAUUGACGCUGAGGCUCGAAAGCAUGGGGAUCAAACAGGAUUAGAUACCCGGGUAGUC
rnacentral:rRNA from 1 species